AAUGGCCGGGACAAAGGGUCGCGAUCCCGCGAGGGUGAGCUAACCCCAAAAACCCGUCCUCAGUUCAGAUUGCAGGCUGCAACUCGUAGGAUAGAG
rfam:Nicotiana attenuata strain TT chromosome 2, whole genome shotgun sequence.